AAGAUAGCAGAAAAUGGAUUGAGAGAAGCUGGGAUAAAUUACAAGUUCAACAAUUACGUUGGUGAUGGUAAGAUCACUGCUUCUGAUAAUAAAAUGCAUGCAGCAAAUACUGAAGAGGAUGAAGUAUAUGCUUUGGCUGGUGCAUUAGAGAAUAUAAUUAAGCAGUCUCAGGUUGAGAUCAUUGACCUUAAACAUACUGUUGAAGAGCUAAGGGAAGAGUCAAGUUUACUCAAGGAACAUGUGGAAACUCAAGCAAAGGAACUCAGUCAAUGGAAGCAACGUGUGGAGGAACUUGAAGAGAAGGAGAGGGUGGCAAAUGAAAAUGUUGAAGGGCUUAUGCUGGACAUAACUGCUGCUGAAGAAGAAAUUACACGAUGGAAAGUAGCUGCACAGCAAGAAGCUGCUGCAGGUAAAGCUGUUGAGCAAGAGUGUGCAGCGCAGUUUGUUGCUGUACGGCAGGAGCUUGAGGCAGCAAAGGAGGCUGUACUAGAGUUCGAAAAGAAGCUAAAAUUCAAAGAAGAAACAGCUGAUGCAGCCAUGGCUGCAAGGGAUGCGGCUGAGAAAUCAUUGAGACUGGCAGAUUUAAGAGCAUCGAGGCUGAGGGAUAAAGUGGAAGAGCUCACCCGUCAGCUUGAAGAGCUAGAUGGCAGGGAAACAUCAACAACUGGUCUAAACAGGCCAAGAUACAUGUGCUGGCCAUGGCAAUGGCUUGGCUUAGAUUCCGUAGGUAUGAGACGUGUAGAGACACAACAAGAGGGUGCCAAUGAAAUGGAACUUUCUGAACCCCUUCUUUGACAUCCUCCUCUUCUCUUUCUUUUGAUAAUAAUAGUAAUCUCCGCCCUGGCAUUUUUGUUUCUUCUUUUCUUGUAAUUCAUUUUAUAUUAUUUCCUCUGCAUUCCACCCGCUGUAUAUUUUUUGUGAUCUUUGUAAGAAAAGUAAUUGGACAAUACAUUGAUUGUUCAAAGUUAAAUAAGCCUUCUUGGCUUGUACACAAGUAAAACUGGCUCUGUUGAGA
rnacentral:misc_RNA from 1 species